UACGAAGGGUGCAAACGUUGCUCGGAAUUAUUGGGCGUAAAGCGCACGUAGGCGGCUUUGCAAGUCCCAUGUGAAAGCCCACGGCUUAACCGUGGAAGUGCAUGGGAAACUGCAGAGCUUGAGUACUUAAGAGGAUCGCGGAAUUCCCGGUGUAGAGGUGAAAUUCGUAGAUAUCGGGAGGAACACCAGUGGCGAAGGCGGCGUCUGGGAAGAUACUGACGCUGAGGUGCGAAAGCGUGGGGAGCAAACAGG
rnacentral:rRNA from 1 species